CGCAACCCUUGUCCUUAGUUACCAGCACGUUAUGGUGGGCACUCUAAGGAGACUGCCGGUGACAACCGGAGGAAGGUGGGGAUGACGUCAAGUCAUCAUGGCCCUUACGGCCUGGGCUACACACGUGCUACAAUGGUCGGUACAAAGGGUUGCCAAGCCGCGAGGUGGAGCUAAUCCCAUAAAACCGAUCGUAGUCCGGAUCGCAGUCUGCAACUCGACUGCGUGAAGUCGGAAUCGCUAGUGAUCGUGAAUCAGAAUGUCACGGUGAAUACGUUCCCGGGCCUU
rnacentral:rRNA from 1 species